rnacentral:lncRNA from 10 species
CAGUAGAAACCUGCCACCCAGAUUUACUUCAGAUAUUGAGACUGCGUGAUGCCACAUACACACACCAACGGGCCAGACUCCAAACAUCUAGGAAUGAAAAAUGCCCAUGGGCAUAAGUGUCCUGAACAUUCUUAUGGAUUUGGGAUUUGAAAUUCGAAGGGGAAGGCCUCAACGAAUACAUUCCUAUGUCACUUUUAAAGACUGGUAAAACAUUUGAGAAAACUCCAAGUCAACCAUUCAUUGCAGACCUAAAUAUUUGUAAAAAGGACAGUGCAGCCCAGCUUGGUACCCUCACAGAAGUAACUAAUGACUCAAAGGGAGCAGCAGGACCCCGCUGGAAG